UUGCAACGUCCGUGUUACAGUGUUGCUUUAGUGCCCUGUACAUUCAGGACGUCGUCCUUCGGAAUUGCAAUUUUGUAACUCAAUGCAGGUUCACAGGCUGGGAUGCCCUAGCCAAACCUGUUUUCAGUACAGCAACUUCAUGGAGGUUUGUGGGAGUUGGUGGAAGACCUUUUCCCACGAAGUGGCCUGCAUUGAAUUGGAGGGGAAUUGGAUGAAUGCUAAGAUGCUUGUGAUGAAAUGGUUUUCAGCUCCUUUUCACGAUGGGUAUGAAGGCACCGAUAGGAAUGAAAUCAUUUGUUUCUACGAUUCUUAAAUGGAACACAGCAACAGAACAUUGACAGCACAAGGAAACUUAAAGCUGUCUAGAUUCCAUUCUUUAUCGUCUCAUGCAAGUCCGUCAAGUUGGUCAUGUUGUUACUU
rnacentral:lncRNA from 1 species